rnacentral:rRNA from 1 species
CGCCUACGGGGCGCAGCAGUGAGGAAUAUUGGUCAAUGGGCGGGAGCCUGAACCAGCCAAGUCGCGUGAGGGAAGACGGUCCUAUGGAUUGUAAACCUCUUUAGGCGGGGAGCAAUGCCGGGCACGCGUGCCCGGAGGGAGAGUACCCGCAGAAUAAGCAUCGGCUAACUCCGUGCCAGCAGCCGCGGUAAUACGUAGGGGGCGAGCGUUAUCCGGAUUUACUGGGGGUAAAGGGAGCGUAGACGGCGUCGCAAGUCUGAAGUGAAAGCCCGUGGCUCAACCGCGGAACCGCUUUGGAAACUGCG